AGAUUAAACUAAAGAGUUUGAUCCUGGCUCAGAUUGAACGCUGGCGGCAUGCCUUACACAUGCAAGUCGAACGGCAGCGCGGGGCAACCUGGCGGCGAGUGGCGAACGGGUGAGUAAUAUA
rnacentral:rRNA from 2 species